rnacentral:rRNA from 1 species
UCCUCCCUCUUUCUUCGUGCUUAACACAUGCAAGUCGAACGGAAAGGCCCUGCUUUUGUGGGGUGCUCGAGUGGCGAACGGGUGAGUAACACGUGAGUAACCUGCCCUUGACUUUGGGAUAACUUCAGGAAACUGGGGCUAAUACCGGAUAGGAGCUCCUGCUGCAUGGUGGGGGUUGGAAAGUUUCGGCGGUUGGGGAUGGACUCGCGGCUUAUCAGCUUGUUGGUGGGGUAGUGGCUUACCAAGGCUUUGCCGGGUAGCCGGCCUGAGAGGGUGACCGGCAAAAUUGGGAUGAGGUACGGCCCAGGCUCCUAAGGGGAGGAACAGGUGGGGAAAAUUGACAAAGGGGCGAAAGCUUAUGGAGGAACGCCGCGUUGGGGAUGUCCGCCUUCGGGGUGGUAACCGGCUUUCCCUUUGACGGAAGGGGGAGUGCGGGGAUUGGGAAAGAAAGAACGGCUGAAUUCGGU